UACGAGGGGAGCAAGCGUUGUUCGGAUUUACUGGGCGUAAAGGGGGCGUAGGCGGUCGUGACAAGUCACUUGUGAAAUCUCCGGGCUUAACUCGGAACGGUCAAGUGAUACUGUCGGACUAGAGUACAGAAGGGGCAACUGGAAUUCUCGGUGUAGCGGUGAAAUGCGUAGAUAUCGAGAGGAACACCUGCGGCGAAGGCGGGUUGCUGGGCUGAUACUGACGCUGAUGCGCGAAAGCCAGGGGAGCGAACGGG
rnacentral:rRNA from 1 species